UACGGAGGGUGCAAGCGUUAUCCGGAUUCACUGGGUUUAAAGGGUGCGUAGGUGGGCAGGUAAGUCAGUGGUGAAAUCUCCGGGCUUAACCCGGAAACUGCCAUUGAUACUAUUUGUCUUGAAUACCGUGGAGGUCAGCGGAAUAUGUCAUGUAGCGGUGAAAUGCUUAGAUAUGACAUAGAACACCAAAUUGCGAAGGCAGCUGGCUACACGAAUAUUGACACUGAUGCACGAAAGCGUGGGGAUCAAACAGG
rnacentral:rRNA from 1 species